rnacentral:rRNA from 1 species
UGGCGGACGGGUGAGUAACGCGUGGAAAACCUGCCGUAUACUGGGGGAUAACACUUAGAAAUAGGUGCUAAUACCGCAUAAGCGCACAGCUUCGCAUGAAGCGGUGUGAAAAACUCUGGGUGGGUAUACGAUGGUUCCGCGUCUGAUUAGCUAGUUGGUGGGGUAAUGGCCUACCAAGGCAACGAUCAGUAGCCGGCCUGAGAGGGUGAACGGCCACAUUGGGACUGAGACACGGCCCAGACUCCUACGGAAGGCAGCAG